rnacentral:rRNA from 1 species
CCCCUUUCGACCCGGACGAAUACCUCGUAAGGGGGGGUGACGGUACGGGUAUAAGAAGCCCCGGCUAACUACGUGCCAGCAGCGCGGUAAGACGUGGGGGGCCAGCGUGUCGGAAUUACUGGGUGUAAAGGGUCAGUAGGCGGUGUGGCAAGUUGGGAGUGAAAUCUAUGGGCUCAACCCAUAGGCUGCUUCCAAGACUGCUGUGCUUGAGUGUGGGAGAGGCGCGUGGAAUUGCAGGUGUAGCGGUGAAAUGCGUAGAUAUCUGCAGGAACACCCGUGGCGAAAGCGGCGCGCUGGACCACAACUGACGCUGAAUGACGAAAGCUAGGGGAGCAAACAGGAUUAGAUACCCUGGUAGUCCUAGCCCUAAACGAUCAGGACUUGGGGUGCCGCCCGUUCGGGCGUCGUCCCGGAGCUAACGCGUUAAGUCCUGCACCUGGGGAGUACGGUCGCAAGACUGAAACUCAAAGGAAUUGACGGGGGCCCGCACAAGCGGUGGAACAUGUGGUUCAAUUCGACGCUACGCGAGGAACCUUACCUGGGCUCGAAAUGCUUCUGACAAGCUGUAGAAAUACGGCCUUCCCGCAAGGGACAGGAGUAUAGGCGCUGCAUGGCUGUCGUCAGCUCGUGCCGUGAGGUGUUGGGUUAAGUCCCGCAACGAGCGCAACCCCUGCACGUAGUUGCCACUCCGCAAGGAGGGAACUCUACGUGGACUGCUCCGGAUAACGGAGAGGAAGGUGGGGAUGACGUCAAGUCCGCAUGGCCUUUAUGUCCAGGGCUACACACGUGUUACAAUGCAGGGUACAAACCGUUGCCAACCCGCGAGGGGGAGCUAAUCGGAAAAAACUCUGCUCAGUUCGGAUUGCAGUCUGCAACUCGACUGCAUGAAGCCGGAAUCGCUAGUAAUGGCGUAUCAGAUCGACGCCGUGAAUACGUUCCCGGGCCUUGUACACACCGCCCGUCACAUCACGAAAGUGAGUUGUACUAGAAGUCGCCACGCUAACCGCAAGGGGGCAGGCGCCCAAGGUAUGACCCAUGAUUGGGGUGAAGUCGUAACAAGGUA